rnacentral:SRP_RNA from 1 species
UGUGCUAAGCGGGGAGUUAGUGGUGCCCUAUAUCCGAAACCCACUAUAUGCGGAGCCGAACACUAUUCUAGGUGUCACUGCGGAAUAAGUACUUUGUAAGUAUUGAAGUGAUGAUAUCAAGGUCUUAUGCAAUAUUUUGCUAUGAACCAUGUCAGGUCAGGAAUGAAGCAGCAUUAAGUAGAUUUAAAAUAUGUGCCAUAAGGUAGCUUUGAAGGAGCGGAUUAUUU